rnacentral:rRNA from 1 species
CUAACCAGGAUUUCCCUAGUAACGGCGAGCGAACCGGAAAGAGCCCAGCUUGAAAAUCGUGGUGCCUCGCACCUCGAGUUGUAGUCUGGAGAAGGUCCCUCUGCGGCGCGCCGGACCCAAGUUCCCUGGAAAGGGACGUCAUCGAGGGUGACAACCCCGUCCGUGCCCGGAACGCGUCGCUCCACGAGGACCUGUCUGCGAGUCGGGCUGUUUGGGAAUGCAGCCCUAAUCGGGAGGUAAAUUCCUUCUAAGGCUAAAUAUGGGCAAGAGACCGAUAGCGAACAAGUACCGCGAGGGAAAGAUGAAAAGGACUUUGAAAAGAGAGUUAAAAAGUGCUUGAAAUUGCUGGGAGGGAAGCGAAUGGAAGCUGCGGGUGCACCCCGGUUGGAUGUGGAACGGCUUCGGCUGGUCCGCCGCUCAACGCGGGGCGCUGGUCAGCGUGGGCCACGGCGCCGGGACAAGAGCGGGGAUUCGCUUCCCGCCUAUGCCGGUGCGGUGGCCGAGGAACGAAGCGCGCGCCUCUUGGCGUGGGUUCGCCCAACUGCGCGCUCGGGACGCUGGCGUAUUGAGCUCUUCAUCCGACCCGUCUUGAAACACGGACCAAGGAGUCUAACAUGUAUGCGAGCCGGUGGGCGGCAAACCCAUUGAGGCGCAAGUAAACUGACAGGUGGGACCCCGACCGCAAGGGAGGGAGCACCAUCGACCGACCGUGAUCUUCUGUGAAAGGUUUGAGUGUGAGCAUACCUGUUGGGACCCGAAAGAUGGUGAACUAUGCCUGAGCAGGGCGAAGCCAGAGGAAACUCUGGUGGAGGCUCGUAGCGAUACUGACGUGCAAAUCGUUCGUCAGACUUGGGUAUAGGGGCGAAAGACUAAUCGAACCAUCUAGUAGCUGGUUCCCUCCGAAGUUUCCCUCAGGAUAGCUGGAGCUCGUGUACAAGUUUUAUCAGGUAAAGCGAAUGAUUAGAGGCAUCGGGGGUGUAACACCCUCGACCUAUUCUCAAACUUUAAAUAGGUAAGCCGCCGGGGUUGCUUGGUUGAACCCCGGCACAGAAUGAGAGC